rnacentral:rRNA from 1 species
UACGGAGGGGGCUAGCGUUGUUCGGAAUUACUGGGCGUAAAGCGCACGUAGGCGGCUUUGUAAGUUAGAGGUGAAAGCCCAGGGCUUAACUCUGGAAUUGCCUUUAAGACUGCAUCGCUAGAAUCGUGGAGAGGUGAGUGGAAUUCCGAGUGUAGAGGUGAAAUUCGUAGAUAUUCGGAAGAGCACCAGUGGCGAAGGCGACUCACUGGACCAUUACUGACGCUGAGGCACGAAAGCUAGGGGAGCAAACAGG